rnacentral:rRNA from 1 species
GAUGAACGCUGGCGGCGUGCCUAAUACAUGCAAGUCGAGCGAACGGACGAGAAGCUUGCUUCUCUGAUGUUAGCGGCGGACGGGUGAGUAACACGUGGAUAACCUACCUAUAAGACUGGGAUAACUUCGGGAAACCGUAGCUAAUACCGGAUAAUAUUUUGAACCGCAUGGUUCAAAAGUGAAAGACGGUCUUGCUGUCACUUAUAGAUGGAUCCGCGCUGCAUUAGCUAGUUGGUAAGGUAACGGCUUACCAAGGCAACGAUGCAUAGCCGACCUGAGAGGGGGAUCGGCCACACUGGAACUGAGACGCGGUCCAGACUCCUACGGGAGGCAGCAGUAGGGAAUCUUCCGCAAUGGGCGAAAGCCUGACGGAGCAACGCCGCGUGAGUGAUGAAGGUCUUCGGAUCGUAAAACUCUGUUAUUAGGGAAGAACAUAUGUGGAAGUAACUGUGCACAUCUUGACGGUACCUAAUCAGAAAGCCACGGCUAACUACGUG